CUGAGCCCAGGGUGUCCCAACUUCCUCAUGCCCCGAGGACCAGCCAAGCACCCAGGUCACAGGUAUGUUCGCCUCAAUGCCAGCCUCGAGGACCUGCAGGGGAAGGGGUAGGGCUGGUGGUAUCCAGUGGGCAAUGAAGACUUGCUACCACGGUGCAUCACUCAAGGAGCAGCUCCCUCCUGUCUCAUUCCCACCUUUCCAUUUCCCUCUUGCUCACUCUUACUAACCAAGCUCUGUCCAAGUAUUUGCUGCUUCCAGGAAGCCUUCUUAAAGCCUGCUUGAUCGAACUGGUUCUUGAGCCCUUUCUGCAGGCUGGGUGCUUGUAUCCAUCAAUCACCUGGAAUCAUCUCGGCAACCUUGUGAGGCCCUGGGCCUGUGCACAUCUUUCCGAGCUUGGAUCCUGCUCCCACCCGUCUCCAGACCUCCAGGACACCUGCCUGCUCAUUACCAGAGCCCACUUCCUGCUCUCCCCAGCUCGCUGGUUCCCACGAUUCUCUGUGGCCUCUCCUAGAGCUUUCAUUACACCAUGUCACCAGCACUUGGCUAUUCCCACUAGCCUGUGAAUCCCUGGGGACAGUGGCCACUGAUUUUUUGUUUCCUCUAGCCUCAGAGAAUGGCUCAGAGUAGGUGCUUAAUAAAUACAUGCUUAAGGACUGAC